UACAUGGGGUGCAAACGUUGCUCGGAAUCAUUGGGCGUAAAGCGCGCGUAGGCGGUUACUUAAGUCGGAUGUGAAAGCCCUCGGCUUAACCGAGGAAGUGCAUCCGAAACUGAGUAGCUAGAGUACUAAAGAGGGUCGCGGAAUUCCCGGUGUAGAGGUGAAAUUCGUAGAUAUCGGGAGGAACACCGGUGGCGAAGGCGGCUCACCGGACCGGUACUGACGCUGAUGCGCGAAAGCGUGGGGAGCAAACAGG
rnacentral:rRNA from 1 species